UUAAAGAAUAAGCAGGUAUCAAGUCAGAACACCUCAGUUCUACCUCUUCUACUUAAAAGUUUGAGGAUUUUUCAUUAACCAUGGUGAUAUAUGUACUGUACAGGCAUUUCCAUUAGAUUCCUAGUUAGGUCUUCCAUUGGGUUAACUGUGUAAGGAUAAUUCCCAUCCUGCUUCAUUGUGUAAUUCUCAAAUUAUUUCAAAAUAUACAAAUGGGCCUCUUGUCUUUUACGUGUCACUGAAUUUACAUCUAUUUUCCCUUUACUAAAAAAUCAUAGUGCCUUCAGAAACUUACCCCUCUACUUUCAAGUAAAAUUUUAAAUGAACUAUACAGAAAAAAAAAUAGAUAUGCCAAUCUCUUUUAAGAAUCAUCUAAGGGAUGAAACAAAUUCCCUUCCAAAUUCCAGCGCUUAAUAUUCUAACCUGACAGAUGAUGCGGCAGUCUCCUAUCUUGCCUCAUUAAAAGCCUCAAUCACUCUGCUGAGCUCCAAAUGAAAACAUCCAAUGGCCUAUUCAACAUUUCCACAGGCAUAUGUCAAACUAGCAUCUCAAACUUAACAUGGUCAAAAGGGAA